rnacentral:rRNA from 1 species
UACGGAGGGUGCAAGCGUUAUCCGGAUUUACUGGGUUUAAAGGGUGCGUAGGUGGGUAGGAAAGUCAGUGGUGAAAUCUUCGGGCUUAACCCGGAAACUGCCAUUGAUACUAUUUAUCUUGAAUACUCUGGAGGUAAGCGGAAUAUGUCAUGUAGCGGUGAAAUGCUUAGAUAUGACAUAGAACACCAAUUGCGAAGGCAGCUUACUACAAUAGUUAUUGACACUGAGGCACGAAAGCGUGGGGAUCAAACAGGAGUU